rnacentral:rRNA from 1 species
CUUGCUGAAUUAUUCACCCUUGUCUUUUGCGUACUUCUUGUUUCCUUGGUGGGUUCGCCCACCACUAGGACAAACAUAAACCUUUUGUAAUUGCAAUCAGCGUCAGUAACAAAUUAAUAAUUACAACUUUCAACAACGGAUCUCUUGGUUCUGGCAUCGAUGAAGAACGCAGCGAAAUGCGAUAAGUAGUGUGAAUUGCAGAAUUCAGUGAAUCAUCGAAUCUUUGAACGCACAUUGCGCCCUUUGGUAUUCCAAAGGGCAUGCCUGUUCGAGCGUCAUUUGUACCCUCAAGCUUUGCUUGGUGUUGGGCGUCUUGUCUCUAGCUUUGCUGGAGACUCGCCUUAAAGUAAUUGGCAGCCGGCCUACUGGUUUCGGAGCGCAGCACAAGUCGCACUCUCUAUCAGCAAAGGUCUAGCAUCCACUAAGCCUUUUUUUCAACUUUUGACCUCGGAUCAGGUAGGGAUACCCGCUGAACUUAAGCAUAU